rnacentral:rRNA from 1 species
CCCAUCUAUUUCAAUCAUUGACCUCGGAUCAGGUAGGGAUACCCGCUGAACUUAAGCAUAUCAAUAAGCGGAGGAAAAGAAACCAACAGGGAUUGCCUCAGUAC